rnacentral:rRNA from 1 species
UGGGGAAUUUUGGACAAUGGGCGAAAGCCUGAUCCAGCAAUGCCGCGUGUGUGAAGAAGGCCUUCGGGUUGUAAAGCACUUUUGUCCGGAAAGAAAUCCUUGGCUCUAAUACAGUCGGGGGAUGACGGUACCGGAAGAAUAAGCACCGGCUAACUACGUGCCAGCAGCCGCGGUAAUACGUAUGGUGCAAGCGUUAAUCGGAAUUACUGGGCGUAAAGCGUGCGCAGGCGGUUUGCUAAGACCGAUGUGAAAUCCCCGGGCUCAACCUGGGAACUGCAUUGGUGACUGGCAGGCUAGAGUAUGGCAGAGGGGGGUAGAAUUCCACGUGUAGCAGUGAAAUGCGUAGAGAUGUGGAGGAAUACCGAUGGCGAAGGCAGCCCCCUGGGCCAAUACUGACGCUCAUGCACGAAAAGCGUGGGGAGCAAACAGGAUUAGAUACCCUGGUAGUCCACGCCCUAAAACGAUGUCAACUAGUUGUUGGGGAUUCAUUUCCUUAGUAACGUAGCUAACGCGUGAAGUUGACCGCCUGGGGAGUACGGUCGCAAGAUUAAAACUUAAAGGAAUUGACGGGGUCAUAGCUGUUUCCU